rnacentral:misc_RNA from 1 species
ACGAAUUCCCUGAUAUGUUUAAGCCUUGUAUCAAGUUCUUCUUUAGACAUGCAACCUAAGAAGAAACGUAAAAACUAAAUAUAAACAUAUUUGAAUUCAAAGUUAAAACAAAUAACAAUCACUCCCUGGUAACGGUGCUAAAAUUUAAUGCAUGCUGAAUGCACCCAUUAAAGAUACUCUACCUAAACUACUUAUAUAUAUGGUAAGCAGAGGUCGAUCCCACAAGAAAUGAGUAAAUGCAAAUAACAAAACAAAUCUUAGAGACACAAAUAAACUGACAAAAUAAACACCUAAUCUAUCAAACUUAAUAUGCAAAGUAAAAUAAAAGGGAUUUUGAUUUGUAUUUGCUAGAAUACUGAAGCUAAACUAAUAAUG